rnacentral:misc_RNA from 1 species
GAAAACCCAUCGCGUCGCGGAUUGUCAUGAUCUGCGGGGCGGAUUUGGACGCUGCCGUAGUUGGCUCGUCUCGAAAUGCAUUAGCCAGUCCGAGGACGCGCGCCAUUGGUGUGAUAAUUCACUUUGCGCCGCUGGUGUGUCUGACGAAGGCUCAUAAUCGCCCGCAAGGGCAACACUUUAAUG